UACAGAGGUCUCGAGCGUUGUUCGGAUUCAUUGGGCGUAAAGGGUGCGUAGGCGGCGCGGUAAGUCGGGUGUGAAAUCUCGGGGCUUAACUCCGAAACUGCAUUCGAUACUGCCGUGCUUGAGGACUGGAGAGGAGACUGGAAUUUACGGUGUAGCGGUGAAAUGCGUAGAUAUCGUAAGGAAGACCAGUGGCGAAGGCGGGUCUCUGGACAGUUCCUGACGCUGAGGAGCGAAAGCGUGGGGAGCGAACAGG
rnacentral:rRNA from 1 species